rnacentral:rRNA from 1 species
GAUUCUGGCUCAGAGUGAACGCUGGCGGCGUGCCUAAUACAUGCAAGUCGAACGAUGAAGCUCUAGCUUGCUAGAGUGGAUUAGUGGCGCACGGGUGAGUAAUGCAUAGAUAACAUGCCCUUUAGUCUAGGAUAGCCAUUGGAAACGAUGAUUAAUACUGGAUACUCCUUACGAGGGAAAGUUUUUCGCUAAAGGAUUGGUCUAUGUCCUAUCAGCUUGUUGGUGAGGUAAUGGCUCACCAAGGCUAUGACGGGUAUCCGGCCUGAGAGGGUGAACGGACACACUGGAACUGAGACACGGUCCAGACUCCUACGGGAGGCAGCAGUAGGGAAUAUUGCUCAAUGGGGGAAACCCUGAAGCAGCAACGCCGCGUGGAGGAUGAAGGUUUUCGGAUUGUAAACUCCUUUUGUUAGAGAAGAUAAUGACGGUAUCUAACGAAUAAGCACCGGCUAACUCCGUGCCAGCAGCCGCGGUAAUACGGAGGGUGCAAGCGUUACUCGGAAUCACUGGGCGUAAAGAGCGCGUAGGCGGGAUAGCAAGUCAGAUGUGAAAUCCUAUGGCUUAACCAUAGAACUGCAUUUGAAACUGUUAUUCUAGAGUAUGGGAGAGGUAGGUGGAAUUCUUGGUGUAGGGGUAAAAUCCGUAGAGAUCAAGAGGAAUACUCAUUGCGAAGGCGACCUGCUAGAACAUAACUGACGCUGAUGCGCGAAAGCGUGGGGAGCAAACAGGAUUAGAUACCCUGGUAGUCCACGCCCUAAACGAUGAAUGCUAGUUGUUGUGGAGCUUGUCUCUGCAGUAAUGCAGCUAACGCAUUAAGCAUUCCGCCUGGGGAGUACGGUCGCAAGAUUAAAACUCAAAGGAAUAGACGGGGACCCGCACAAGCGGUGGAGCAUGUGGUUUAAUUCGAAGAUACACGAAGAACCUUACCUAGGCUUGACAUUGAUAGAAUCCGCUAGAGAUAGUGGAGUGCUAGCUUGCUAGAACUUGAAAACAGGUGCUGCACGGCUGUCGUCAGCUCGUGUCGUGAGAUGUUGGGUUAAGUCCCGCAACGAGCGCAACCCUCGUCCUUAGUUGCUAACUAUUCGGUAGAGCACUCUAAGGAGACUGCCUUCGCAAGGAGGAGGAAGGUGAGGAUGACGUCAAGUCAUCAUGGCCCUUACGCCUAGGGCUACACACGUGCUACAAUGGGAAGCACAAAGAGAUGCAAUAUUGUGAAAUGGAGCAAAUCUAUAAAACUUCUCUCAGUUCGGAUUGUAGUCUGCAACUCGACUACAUGAAGCUGGAAUCGCUAGUAAUCGUAAAUCAGCUAUGUUACGGUGAAUACGUUCCCGGGUCUUGUACUCACCGCCCGUCACACCAUGGGAGUUGUAUUCGCCUUAAGUCGGAAUGCCAAACUGGCUACCGCCCACGGCGGAUGCAGCGACUGGGGUGAAGUCGUAAAAAGGUACCC